rnacentral:rRNA from 1 species
UACCAGCACCCCGAGUGGUCGGGACGAUUAUUGGGCCUAAAGCAUCCGUAGCCGGUCCUGCAAGUCUUCCGUUAAAUCCAGCUGCUCAACAGAUGGGCUGCGGGGGAUACUAUAGGGCUAGGAGGCGGGAGAGGCAAGCGGUACUCAGUGGGUAGGGGUAAAAUCCUCUGAUCCAUUGAAGACCACCAGUGGCGAAGGCGGCUUGCCAGAACGCGCUCGACGGUGAGGGAUGAAAGCUGGGGGAGCAAACCGG